AAUAGUCUAGUAAAAAUAAAAUAUGACCCAGAACUAAUUGCAAAAGUUUUGAAUCUUUGUUCAUUGAAUAGGUCUGGUAUAUGUAUAUGUCAGAAAAAAAGUUGCACAUAUAACUCUGUGCACAACUUUUUUUACAAGCGUUCAAAGUUCACGAAUUUUAACUUUAUAUUUUAAGACCCGAACUGUACACCAUACACGCAGUUUUUUCCUAUGACGUAACAAUUUUACGUAGGCACGCGCGUCAUUGAAAACUUGUCAUAUGAUUUCGUGAAACUUCCGUCGAAAAAUAAAUAUCAUUUUUCAUCAACAAUAGCCUUUGGAUGGCAAAGGUAAGUUUGUUUUGUGUAUUUUACAUUUACUUUUAUCAUUUAUGCCUUUUUACUUUCACUAUAAGUGCCAUAGUUAAAUAAAACUACGAUUUUAUGUUAAAUAUUUUUGGAAAUAAACAGCAAACCAAUAUCACCAGUAAAUGUUAGUAUUUGAUUUUUUUCUAUUCCUAAAAUAAACGAUAUAUAUAUAUUUAUAAGAAAACGAUGUUAAUAAGACAUAUUUAAUAUGAAAACUUUGUAUUUUCGACAUUAUAUUGUUACUUUGAAAUGAACAAAUUUCACGAUUUUUUAAUCUACGGAAGACAAAACGGGCCAUAAUUUACGUCGUGAAUAUGCAUUAUUUUAUUAUAACAAUGUAUUUUAUUGUUCUGGUCGGGGACCAUCAAACGAACACUUUUUGAACAAUUUUCCGUACAAAUUUCAUAAUUUCUAACCUAGAGACCUUAAAAUUUGACACAGUUCAGCUAGGUUCUUCUCCUAACUUACAAACUGGUUUGUUUAUUUCUGAUUGUAUUGACACUUAUAUCUGAGGCUCUACAAGGAGGGUAUCAAAAUUACCUAAAUUGUCUACACUACAGUACAAUGUGUCCAGACAGAUAUGUACAUCACAUGAUUUAAUUAAGAUAAAAGCUUGGGGUGUUUUGAUUUUAGAUUUUUAACAUGAUAUACAAUAUUUCAGCAACAAAUGCUGAAGUUUUGGAUAUUCUAUUGUUUACUCUGCAAAUGAUUAUAGCUGGUAUAUGAGGUCAGACAAUGCUUUCUUGACCCCCAAAUUUCAACGUCAACAUUCUAGAAAUAGACAAUAAAAAUAUUACUUUACGUAGGUUGAAAUAAAUUUAUUUACUUAAUUUUAGAAGAAAUAUGCAUUUAUUGUUGAUGAAAAAGUGACUGACAACCACUGAACAAAGAAAAUACUAAAUAAAGCAUUUUCGGGGCCGUCCGGGUUUGGUGGUUGUCUGGUUUUGGUGGUCCCAAACCAGUAUAUAAAACAAUAUUCAGAUUUACAUGUACGUAUAUAUAAAUUUAUAUUUAGAUAUAUAUUUUGCAUUAUUAAACAUGUAAAUGUACAUAAAUAAAAUCAAUUAUACUUAAUUUCAGAUAGGACAUCCAUGAUUUACAUGAUGAUUAUCUAAUGUUCAGCUAUCUCUUGUAUCAAGAUGAUACAAGCCACAUUACCAAACCAUGCUGAUGGAACAAACAACGAUUUGAAGGACGUUGCAUUUCGAAACCCGUUGUGCAUUUCUGAUUUCGGGAUCUACAAGUAAAUAUCAACAUGACAACAGAUUCUACAACGUGCGUAUUUUGUGCGCAGGAUAUCCAGAAUUGGUCCCAAUUGUCACUCUCAGAGAGAAGGGAAGCAACAGUGUUAACCAUGCUAGCGAUCUGAGUAAUUCAAGUAUACAAGUAUACGAACAAUUACAGGCCAAAUUGUGCACCAAGACUGCAGAAAGGAUUUUAUUCACAAUAGAAACAUUUCAAAUAGUUCCAAUGUUAAGUGUGACCAAGUUAAAAUACCUUUAAGAUCAAAUUCUAACUUUGCUUUUAAGUGUAAUUGCUUGUUCUGUGGUAAGCCUGCUAAAGUUGCAUCUGGUAAACGUAGAUGUUCAUCCUGGUAGAAGUUUUGAUUGUCAGGAAACACAUCGUCGGAACCCACGGUACACAUUCCGUAUAUACUACAUUUUAUAAAUAGCCUGGGUUACCGAGGAUGCAGGAAACAAUACAACUCAAAUGUUCUGAGAGAAACAAUCUGUGGGGAAAUGUUGUUUUAAACAGACUGUUGUCAGUUUUAGAUUUUCGUCAGAUUCGAAGAAUGUAUAUUUCAGAUAAGACAAUGAAAACCCAAAUAGUUUGGCAUAUAUAUUCAAAAGACACCAAAAUGUGAUUGGAAUAGAUAUUUG